rnacentral:rRNA from 1 species
AUACGUAGGGUGCGAGCGUUGUCCGGAAUUACUGGGCGUAAAGAGCUCGUAGGUGGUUUGUCGCGUCGUCUGUGAAAUUCCGGGGCUUAACUCCGGGCGUGCAGGCGAUACGGGCAUAACUUGAGUACUGUAGGGGAGACUGGAAUUCCUGGUGUAGCGGUGAAAUGCGCAGAUAUCAGGAGGAACACCGGUGGCGAAGGCGGGUCUCUGGGCAGUAACUGACGCUGAGGAGCGAAAGCAUGGGUAGCGAACAGGAUUAGAUACCCUGGUAGUCCAUGCCGUAAACGGUGGGCGCUAGGUGUAGGGGUCUUCCACGACUUCUGUGCCGUAGCUAACGCAUUAAGCGCCCCGCCUGGGGAGUACGGCCGCAAGGCUAAAACUCAAAUGAAUUGACGG